UGGGGCUAAGCAGAGAGCUUCUCAGUGCUGGGGCACGGCACGUUGCUCAGAUCAGCUUUCCCGGUGAGAGUAACAGAACGCGGAAGGAACUCUAAGAAGCCUAUUUAAAAAUGACUGACUAGCGGAUGUGAUAGAGAGCGAUUAUCAGGGUAGACCAUAAGCCUGUAACACAGAGGGGGUGGCCAAGCACAGCCCAGCUUUCGUCCCAAGGAUGCCAGCUAAACCAAGGAAAGGUGAACUGGAAUUUCAUGAUCUCUUAAAGUUUGGAGACAUGGGAAUGUGGGGGCUUCAACAGGAAGUCCUGCUCUCCUAAAGCCGGGAUCAGAAAAGGCCACACUCUCAGCAGAAGAGUAAAACCCCACCCUGAAACACAGGAUGGAUCCACGUGCUCCGGAUAAAAGGGAAGGUCGAAAAGCUAACAGAGUUCGGAUACAAAACAGAACAAAGACGAAACAAAAAGCUGCAGCCGAACCCUACCUGCUGCUCCAUGUUGAAAUCUGCCUCCUCAAGUCGGGAGCGAGACCAGAAGGAACACCCGAGACUCCGACAUCAGCGUCAGCUGCAGGGGCUCCCGGAAGGACAAGCCUGUCCCUGGAUGCUCAUAAGCAGA
rnacentral:lncRNA from 10 species